GGAUUAGAUACCCUGGUAGUCCACGCCGUAAACGAUGGAUACUAGGUGUUUGGGAAGUUAAUCUCCUGAGUACUGAAGCUAACGCAUUAAGUAUCCCGCCUGGGGAGUACGGUCGCAAGGCUAAAACUCAAAGGAAUUGACGGGGGCCCGCACAAGCGGUGGAGUAUGUGGUUUAAUUCGAAGCAACGCGCAGAACCUUACCUACCCUUAACAUCCCGGGACAACCUCAGAGAUGAGGCUUUCUCUUCGGAGACUCGGUGAUAGGUGCUGCAUGGCUGUCGUCAGCUCGUGCCG
rnacentral:rRNA from 1 species